AUUGAACGCUGGCGGCAGGCCUAACACAUGCAAGUCGAGCGGAGCGGCAGACGGGGACGUAAUGCCUAGGACUCUGCCUGGUCGUGGUGGAUACGGUCCGGAACUGGGCACUAUUACCGCUUCCUCUCAGAUGCGCCUGGGUCGGAUUGGGUAGUGGGUGGGGUAAAGGCCUACCAAGGCGACGACCCGUAGCUGGUCUGAGAGGAUGAUCAGUCACACUGGAACUGAGACACGGUCCAGACUCCUACGGGAGGCAGCAGUGGGGAAUAUUGGACAAUGGGCGAAAGCCUGAUCCAGCCAUGCCGCGUGUGUGAAGAAGGUCUUCGGAUUGUAAAGCACUUUAAGUUGGGAGGCGUUACCAGCAGAAUAAGCACCGGCUAACUUCGUGCCAGCAGCCGCGGUAAUUC
rnacentral:rRNA from 1 species